rnacentral:snRNA from 1 species
AUACUUACCUGGCACAGGGGACACCGUGAUCAGAAAGGCGGUUCCCCCAGAGCGAGGCCUGUUCAUUGCACUGCGAACGGGUUGACCUCUGCGAUUAUCCCUAAUGUCACUAAUGUGGAUAACUCAGGUGCGUUAUUUUAGGUAGUGUAGUGGGGACUGCGUUCGCGCCGUCCCCCU